UACGUAGGGGGCAAGCGUUGUCCGGAUUUAUUGGGCGUAAAGAGCGUGUAGGCGGCCAGAUAGGUCAGCUGUGAAAACUCGAGGCUCAACCUCGAGACGUCGGUUGAAACCAUCUGGCUAGAGUCCGGAAGAGGAGAGUGGAAUUCCCGGUGUAGCGGUGAAAUGCGCAGAUAUCGGGAGGAACACCAGUGGCGAAAGCGGCUACCUGGCCCAUUCUUGACGCUGAGGCGCGAAAGCUAGGGGAGCAAACGGG
rnacentral:rRNA from 1 species